rnacentral:rRNA from 1 species
GGAAACUGCCUGAUGGAGGGGGAUAACUACUGGAAACGGUAGCUAAUACCGCAUAACGUCGCAAGACCAAAGAGGGGGACCUUCGGGCCUCUUGCCAUCAGAUGUGCCCAGAUGGGAUUAGCUAGUAGGUGGGGUAACGGCUCACCUAGGCGACGAUCCCUAGCUGGUCUGAGAGGAUGACCAGCCACACUGGAACUGAGACACGGUCCAG